CCUAAGGGAGGCAGCAGUGGGGAAUAUUGGACAAUGGGCGAAAGCCUGAUCCAGCCAUGCCGCGUGUGUGAAGAAGGCCUUCGGGUUGUAAAGCACUUUCAGUGGGGAAGAAAGCCUUGGGGCUAAUACCCUCGAGGAAGGACAUCACCCACAGAAGAAGCACCGGCUAACUCCGUGCCAGCAGCCGCGGUAAUACGGAGGGUGCGAGCGUUAAUCGGAAUUACUGGGCGUAAAGCGCGCGUAGGCGGUCUGAUAAGCCGGUUGUGAAAGCCCCGGGCUCAACCUGGGAACGGCAUCCGGAACUGUCAGGCUAGAGUGCAGGAGAGGAAGGUAGAAUUCCCGGUGUAGCGGUGAAAUGCGUAGAGAUCGGGAGGAAUACCAGUGGCGAAGGCGGCCUUCUGGACUGACACUGACGCUGAGGUGCGAAAGCGUGGGUAGCAAACAGGAUUAGAUACCCUUGUAGUC
rnacentral:rRNA from 1 species